UUCCCUCAGUAAGGGCGACUGAAGCGGGAACAGCUCAUUCUGUGAAUCUCUGCUUCGGCAGCGAGUUGUGGAAAGGCAUGUCAGCUAAGCUACUGGUCUAAGUCUCUUGGAAAAGAGCGCUUGAAAGGGUGACAGCCCCGUCUUUGACUGGUUAGCUGUGGCUUUAGCACAUGUUUUAUACGAGUCGAGUUGCUUGGGAUUGCAGCUCUAAGUGGGUGGUAAAUUCCAUCUAAAGCUAAAUAUUGGUGGGACACCGAUAGCGUACAAGUACCGUGAGGGAAAGAUGCAAAGAACUUUGAAAAGAGAGUUAAAGAGUACCUGAAAUUGCUGAAAUGGAAGCGAAGGAAACCAGUGCCAUUCUUCACUAUUUUUCUGUUCCUACUUGUGGGAAUAGCGCUGUGGUGUUGAAUAGGCCAGCGUGAGUUUGUACCGGGGGAUAACACUCUUCAGAAGGCAGCUAGAUUUCCUAGCGAUUGCUGUUGAGCUGUGCUCUGGUACAGAC
rnacentral:rRNA from 1 species